GUGCCAGCCGCCGCGGUAAUACGUAGGGGGCUAGCGUUAUCCGGAAUUACUGGGCGUAAAGGGUGCGUAGGUGGUUUCUUAAGUCAGAGGUGAAAGGCUACGGCUCAACCGUAGUAAGCCUUUGAAACUGGGAAACUUGAGUGCAGGAGAGGAGAGUGGAAUUCCUAGUGUAGCGGUGAAAUGCGUAGAUAUUAGGAGGAACACCAGUUGCGAAGGCGGCUCUCUGGACUGUAACUGACACUGAGGCACGAAAGCGUGGGGAGCAAACAGGAUUAGAUACCCCCGUAGUCC
rnacentral:rRNA from 1 species